UCUCCGAUUUUUGCUGAUAAAUCACACAACACUUUACAGGCAGGUUGGAAACUUUGGCCAUUUGCUCAUUUGAUCACCUAUGGUGUGAUACCUGUUGAACAAAGGCUUCUUUGGGUUGAUUGUGUGGAGCUUAUCUGGGUAACCAUACUGUCAACUUAUUCUAACGAGAAAUCAGAAGCACGUAUAACUGAAGAUGCAGACUCUAAUUCAUCGACCAAUACUCCUAAGGAAUAAACGAAUUGGUGAUCAUGCCUCAACUGUAAAGAGAGAUGAGAAGCGUCGGCAACUCAUGUUAGUAUUUGAGGUAUAAUAGCCCGGGGGGUGUUGGUGAGGCUUAGCUAAGAUAUACUGUAAAUCAUCCGAAACGCAUAUGUAUUCCAGGAAAGUAGACGAGCAAUACCUACUGAUUUACCAUACUAGUUUACAAAUUAGAGUUCAUAUGCAGGGAAUCUGGAGCCUAUGGGAUCAAUCAUGUCUAGGAAAAGGUAUACCAUACCUCCAAUCCCUUCAAACAGGGAAUACGGGCUAUCACCUCCGUGCAUCUCUCCCUUGGAUAUAAGCUUGUGAGCUUGAUCAAGCAAAAAGCUUGCAAAUGCUUUUGCCCUAUAUAAGAACUUUACAUUGCCUGUUUUUCGGUAAA